rnacentral:tRNA from 1 species
CUUUUAAAGGAUAAUAGGAAUCCAUUGGUUUAGGAGCCAAAUACU